AGAGUUUGAUCCUGGCUCAGGACGAACGCUGGCGGCGUGCCUAAUACAUGCAAGUCGAGCGAAUUGAAGGGAGCUUGCUCCCUGAUAUUAGCGGCGGACGGGUGAGUAACACGUGGGCAACCUGCCCUGCAGAUGGGGAUAACUCCGGGAAACCGGGGCUAAUACCGAAUAAUCAGUUCUUCCGCAUGGAAGAACUCUGAAAGACGGUUUCGGCUGUCACUGCAGGAUGGGCCCGCGGCGCAUUAGCUAGUUGGUGGGAUAACGGCCUACCAAGGCGACGAUGCGUAGCCGACCUGAGAGGGUGAUCGGCCACACUGGGACUGAGACACGGCCCAGACUCCUACGGGAGGCAGCAGUAGGGAAUCUUCCACAAUGGACGAAAGUCUGAUGGAGCAACGCCGCGUGAGCGAAGAAGGUUUUCGGAUCGUAAAGCUCUGUUGUGAGGGAAGAACAAGUACAGGAGUAACUGUCUGUACCUUGACGGUACCUCAUUAGAAAGCCACGGCUAACUACGUGCCAGCAGCCGCGGUAAUACGUAGGUGGCAAGCGUUGUCCGGAAUUAUUGGGCGUAAAGCGCGCGCAGGCGGCCUUUUAAGUCUGAUGUGAAAGCCCACGGCUUAACCGUGGAAGGUCAUUGGAAACUGAAAGGCUUGAGUACAGAAGAGGAAAGCGGAAUUCCACGUGUAGCGGUGAAAUGCGUAGAGAUGUGGAGGAACACCAGUGGCGAAGGCGACUCUCUGGUCUGUAACUGACGCUGAGGCGCGAAAGCGUGGGUAGCGAACAGGAUUAGAUACCCUGGUAGUCCACGCCGUAAACGAUGAGUGCUAAGUGUUAGAGGGUUUCCGCCCUUUAGUGCUGCAGUUAACGCAUUAAGCACUCCGCCUGGGGAGUACGGCCGCAAGGCUGAAACUCAAAGGAAUUGACGGGGACCCGCACAAGCGGUGGAGCAUGUGGUUUAAUUCGAAGCUAC
rnacentral:rRNA from 1 species